rnacentral:lncRNA from 1 species
GCCAGUUGAGCAUGAUCAGUGCAUAUGUCAUUUUAUCUUUUCUCCCCUCUCAAGCAGUCAUCAUUCGAGGACAAAUGUUUCCAAGGGAGAGAUAUUGUAAUACCCUAAAAAAUCCAAACCAAUUUUAAAUCCAUGUACCAAGCCUAUACAUAGUACAUCAUGGUUCUUUAAUAGUUUUAUGAGUAAGUUAGAUGUAUAUUAAGGCUUCAAAUAA